GACAGAGGUGCCGAGCGUUAGGCGGAAUCACUGGGCUUAAAGCGUGUGUAGGCGGGUCGUUAAGUGUCUUGUGAAAUCCCACCGCUCAACGGUGGAACUGCUGGGCAUACUGGCGAUCUUGAGCCACCUAGGGGCAGACGGAACAAGCGGUGGAGCGGUGAAAUGCGUAGAUAUCGCUUGGAACGCCGACGGUGAAAACAGUCUGCUGGGGUGUGCUGACGCUGAGACACGAAAGCCAGGGGAGCGAACGGG
rnacentral:rRNA from 1 species